CUGCGACUUAAAUCACAUUUAUUUAGAGAAAAAUGACCUGCUAGAAAGAUUUCUAAGGAUAAUUUGGCGUACACGUGCAGUUCCACAAAGGCGCAGGUCUACUGUUCAAAGUAGUUACGCUAUUUUUGACAAGUUUUAUAGGGGUUGCUCUUGAGACUCCUGGGAGGCUCUUGAAGAAGCACAUGGUGUCGUAUUCCGUUGUCCCAUCAGCGGAUGCUACCAGUCUGUUCGAGUGUGUCUUAGGGACAAGAUACAUGUCAUACUACUACGUUCUUUUUUUACGAUAUUUUAAUGGUUAUUGUUCUUUCUUUUCUUUCUUUCUUUUUUUUUUUCAUUUUAUUUUUCUUUUUAUUUUUCUUAUUACAAAUCUUUAUUUAUAUUUAUCGUCAUUAAUUAUUUUACUUCAAGACGAUGUUGAGAUUCUACUGUGUAAUUAUUCUCUCGAUGGAUAAUAUUCUAUUGGAAAAAAUCGAAGAAUGAAAUGGAAAUUUUACAGAUAUCCAGAGAAAGGAAAUGGACGUGAUUGAGUAUUAUGAUUAAAGGAAAUACGAGUGUUGAAUAAGAAUAAAUGGAUCUGGUUUAGAUGGUGGUGGUUCGCAAAGGGGUGGCUUAACAAAAAAUGGAAUGAUGAAUCAGAAUCAUCUUUAUCGACAAUAUCGAUAUCUCUCCGUGGAUACAAAUUUAACUGUAAGAUAAAAAAAAUAAUUAAAUUCUUUUUAAAAUAUAUAAAUCAAUACUAUUUGGGAUUUCUCUCAUAUUAUUUUACUCGUUGUUUUGUAUCCAUCCACGUGUUUGCGAAGUUAACGAUAAAAAAUUUCCAAUGACAUCGAUAAAGAAGAUUUCGAUGUAGUCGAUAAGGAAGAUUUGAACGCAAUUCAAUUAUCAUCCCACGUUUUCGCUAAACUCCGCCCAUUUUUACUCCCUCCCAUCACAAUUGCUAUUUCCACCAAUCACAAAUAAAUUUAUCCCUUUGCUAAUUUUCCCACUACUUCUAAAAUCCGCCCAUUUUUAAUCUCGUCAUAAGCAUUUUCACCAAUUAUUAUCCAUAACUAUGACCAUUUUUUUUCUCUCCAGCAUAAACACUAUUUUAUCUCCACGCCCCCAUUAUCGUUACUAUUAUUAUUAUAUACAAAAUUAAAUUUAUUUUUUGAGAGUAGUAAUCACUAAUACGUGUUAGAACUAUUGAUUUUACAUUAACAAUAUGUGAAUAGUGAAUAAAAAAACUUUUUUUCUUUCAAUACGUUGGAGUACGUACAAGGAAAUUAAAGUGGAUAUUAUAAGUUUAAAAAGAUCAAUUAUAUUAAUUAAAUGAUAAAUAUAAUCGUGGAAAAGAAAAAAAAAAGAGAAAUUGCUCGUCGAACACAAAGAAGAAAAUAGUGGGAUCGUGAAGUAGAAAAAUGUAUACAAUUCUUUCGCGAAUAUUAAUAAUAACUAACCAUUGAAAUAAUUAAAAAACUGUAUAUUUUAUGAUAAAAAUAUAAAAAUAUCUCGGAUCGUUGAAAAAGAUCUAUAGUAGUUUAUGUUUGAUCAAUAAAGUGAUCGCGAAAGUGUCACUUUGAGUGAGAAUGGACAUUCUUAUCAGUGAUAUCAGUGGACAGCAAAGGCAACAUAACGAGAAAGAUUGUCAAUGAGUAAGUUGAACAAUGAUUAGUAUCAGGAAGCCAUAACGUUUUUAAAGUUCCACGUUCUUGAAAUAUUAGUAAUCCUUGAAAUUCUCUCAAGUCAAUACCAAUUAUGUCGAUAAUAGUGUAUUUAUUAGAAUAUAAUCCUGAGACUAGCGUAAAGUGUAAAACGUGAAAUUUGUGUUUGUUGUGUUUAUUGAAGGGAAAAAAAAAUAAAUAAAUAAAUAAAAAAUAAAAAAGAAGGAAAAGAAAAAAGAAACAACAAAAUACAUUGAUUGGAUCUAACGAUCGAGUAAAAGUUAUGAAGAUAGUAAGUUGAAAGAGAUGAUACUAAAAAAACGUUUACAAUUGUUGCUUUACAUUUUACGAGUUUUUUACGUAUUCGGAGAGGAGGAUACAAAUGAAAGGAAUACAAAUUCUGGAAUAAUAUCGAACGUUAUUCGAGAAUACUCUUUCUUCGAUAAGAACGAAAAUUUAUCUAAUAAUAAAACGGAAGUAGACAUUGAUAUGCCUACGAAAAGUUCUAUAACGUCCGAAAAUUAUGAGGACGUCGAAUACGAUGAAUGGAAUUUUUCACAAAAGUUUAAUAAAGAUUCAUUAAAAAUUCAUUUCGAUCUGUGCGAACAAACAAACGCGUCAAAUGGAAUGGUUUUAGAAAUUGAAGACGUAAAGCAUUUGAUGAUAGAAGCAGUAGAUACCGAAAGAAUAUUAAUUUCUUGGAUGGCGCCAUGUUCAGCUAUAAACAAUAUUCUUAUUAAUUAUACUAUUGUAACAUAUUCAUAUGAUCAAAUUAAAAAAACGGAAGAUAUAUCAAAUACAUUAUCUUAUAUAAGAUAUAACGUUACCGGACUUAAUCCAUGUACACCUUAUACGUUUGAGGUAUUUGUAAUCGCAGGACAUAAUAGAUCAAAUGGUUAUAAUACAACAGGAGAAACAAGUUCUAAUCUUACAUACAUCGAAGAUGUUCUAAAUUUACGUAUUAAUAUACCUACUAAUGAUAAGCUAAAAGAUGGUGAUAUUGGGUUGGAAUUGACUUGGGAUGCUCCAGAAAAAUAUAUUAAAUGUAUUGAUUAUUAUAAGAUCAUACAAUGCAUUAAAGACUCUUGCAAUGAAAAUAAUACAAGUGUUAGUAUUACAAAUACUACAAGCUAUAUUAUAUGGGGUCUUGAACCUUGUACGGAAUACUUUUAUACUGUUAAAAUAAUAUCUUCGUCAUCUAUAGAAUCGCCUGGAAAAAGUAUAUACAACACGACAAAAAUAAUAACAUCAAGUGAGCCACAAUCAUUGAACGCAGAACCUGGUGAUUUUGCUUUAAGCAUUCACUGGCUACCACCAAUGGUUGGCUAUCAAUGUGUCCAAGAAUAUAAUAUUACAAUAUCUGACACGUUAUGUGUUUAUAAUAAGUCUACCACAAAUACCUCAGAAGUUAUGAAGAAUUUGCAUGCUUGUACUUCCUAUAUGAUUUAUGUUAUUCCCAUUAAUAAAAUAUCUUCAAUUGGAACCUUAGCUACUACAAAGGGAAAAACAAAUAAAAGUAUAACAGAAUCUCCUGUAGUACAUGCAAGUAAAUGUGGAAUUUAUAAUAUAUCAAUAACAUGGUGUAUUAAAAAGGUAUUAAAUAAUAAUUGUACACUGAAAUCUAUAAUAGUUAUGUGUAAUUAUGUGAAAAUCAAUGGGCAUGGUUAUCUACCAAAAUCAGGAGAAGUUAAAAAAAAUUUGGACGAACAUAUAAAAUUACCUAUGCUUGAAAAUAUAACUGUGACAAAUUUAAGUCCUUAUACAAAAUAUUCAUGCCAGGGAAUUAUUGUCAAUGAGGCAGGAAACAGUUCGUUAAGUGAACCAGUAAAUGUUACAACAUUAGAAGAUAUAUCAUCUCCACCCAUUAUUAAGGUCAAAAAUAUAACAGAUACUCGAUUUACUUUAUUUUGGCAGAAUCCUAUAUAUUUGCCAGGAAUAUUGACAGCGUUUGAAAUAAAAAUUACAUGGUAUACACUUUUCGAAAGACCAGAUUGGUGUACUAAUGAUACUUUUGGCACUGUUAUCAUUUCAAAUAUUACUGGUACAUCAUUAGAUUAUUUAAAUGGGAAACCAUACACAAAUUAUACCGUAAGUAUAAAAGGUAGAACUGCUGCAGGUUGGAGUGAUGAUAGUAAAUUGAUAACAUUUGUUACAUUGCCAGGAGUUCCAGGAAUCGUUUCUAAUAUUUCACAUAUUAUUACAAAAAAUGAACAUAACGAUCAAUGUGAUGAUAUACAUAAUGAUCAAUUAGAUACAGUUGUAACAUGGGAUUUACCAUGUUCCUUAAAUGGAAAAAUUGAGUCUUUCUUUGUGUCGGUGCAUGGUAUAAGAAAUGGUUAUGAUCCACACAUUUUCUCUAUUAAGAAAAAUUAUAGUAAAAUUGUUGAGAAAAAUUAUGUAUAUUCAAUGGUUCUUCCAUCACUAAAAUCAGAAUAUAAUUAUACACUUAACAUAUCAGCUAAAGUUAGAGAUGUUGAAACUUGGAGUUUACCAGCAACUUAUAGUGAUAUUUUGUAUCCUGCUAAGUGUCCACCAGAACCUAAUGAAGAAUAUAUAAAAUCAAUUAGCAUAGAUCCAUAUAAAGCACGUAGAUCUACUACAUCAGUCACCAUUUUGCUUCCAUUAUUUUCUAAUGAUAAUGGUUUAAUUAAAUAUUAUGCCAUUAUGGUUUCAAAAAAAGGAUUUAAUGUUGGUUUAAAUAAUAGUUUUAAUGUGACCGAACAAACAUGGCCAGAUACUCCAUCAUGGGAGGAGUCCAUGAAUAAUGAUUUCUCUAUAGUUUAUCAAGCUACCGGAUCGCAUUGGCAUCCUUUUCCAAAUUAUGUUGCUGACUAUGGACACAUAAAAGCAGUAAAAUAUGUACUUGGUGAAGACACAGCUUGUAAAGAAAUAUCAUCUAAUACAAAUAAACGAUUGUAUUGUAAUGGACCACUUAAAUCAGAUACAUGGUAUGAUGUUAGAAUGCGUGCAUUUACUUCCAAAGGUUUUAGGGAUUCGCCUGCUUUUUUGAUAAAGACAAAUGCAGAGUUAAACGUUGGCGUUGUAAUUGGAAUCGUUCUUGGAAUUUUAUUUUUGGGGAUUUUGACGACGAUGAUGCUUUUAGUACGAAGAUGUUCUCCGUACACAAUAUUUCGUCAAGUUUUAAAUUCUGAUAUGCCUGGAUCACCAUUGCCUACUCCAUUUACAAGAAAAAAAUUCCUUGCGCACUGCCAAGAACUUAUUGACAAUCCUGGUAAAUUAAGUAAUGAAUUUAGGUUGCUUCAAACUUUGAGCGUGGAUCUACAGAUGCCAACGAAUACUGCUUGUUUGCAAGCUAAUAGAAAAAAGAAUCGAUAUUCAGACAUUUUACCAUAUGAUUUUUCAAGAGUGAAAUUAGAAGUAAUUGAUAAUGAUCCUAACACCGAUUAUAUUAAUGCUUCAUUUGUAAAAGGUUAUAGCGGAGAGGAUGAAUAUAUAGCUUGUCAAGGACCAAAAGAAGAUACAAUAUAUGAUUUUUGGAGAAUGAUAGAUCAAUAUGAAAUAAAUAUUAUUGUCAUGUUAACUCAAUUAAUUGAGAAGGGUAAAGUAAAAUGCCAUCAAUAUUAUCCAACAAUUAGAGAAACUUUUGGAUAUGAAAAUAUAACCAUAAGAUGUACAAGCGAAUUAGAUUUUAGAACAUACACUCAAAGGACAUUAAUAUUACAAAAGGAAAAUAAGAAAAAAACGAUAACACAUCUUCAUUUUAAAGAUUGGCCAGAUCAUGAUGUUCCAGAGGAUUUUGAUUCAAUGAUUAAUUUUUGCCAAAUUAUGCGUCGUAAUAUAGGCACUAAUAAAGGUUUUGUUGUUAUUCAUUGCAGUGCGGGAAUUGGUAGAACAGGUACCUUAAUAGCAAUUGAUAUACUUUUACAAUAUCUUAGAGAUAAUAGAAAAUUAGAUGUGUUCGGAACUGUUUAUAGAUUAAGACAUUAUAGAAUAAAUAUGGUUCAAAGAGAGAGUCAAUAUACCUACAUAUAUAACUGUAUAAUGCAGGUCCUUAAAAAUCCAUAUUUUUUAAAAACAUAUAAACCACCUCAUGUGGAUCCAAUGCAUGAUAAUAAUUCCAAAAGUGCAAGUGAAACUACUAAUUCGGAUGGCAGCCUUACAGUAAAUCUUGAAACAUGUAUGUGACUUUCUCACAUAUAUAGAUCGCAACAGAUAUUUUGUUUGUUAUGAAACUAUUAUUCAGGCCAUAUUUAUAUUAUAUACUACUGAAAAAAAAAAAAAAUUUUUUUUUAACCAUUUUGUUAAUAUUGAUAAUGAAUCUUAUUUAGGAGAUUGCAAUAUUUACUAAAUUUUCAAAUAUGAACAAAUAUAUGAUCGAAUGUGCCUUGUCGAUGUCUGACUCAAUGAGCACAAAAUUGAUCAAAAAAUUUUUGUAAUGAAUUUAAUAAGCAGAAUAUGAAUUAUAUACAACUCAGAAAGACAAAUUUUUUACAAAAUUACUUUUUUACAAAUCAAAAACAUUAUAAUAAUGAGGUUUAAACAUAACGUGUAAAGCAAACAUGGUAAAAUUACUUUAAUUCUUUGAUUAAUCCUUUAAUGUAUAUAUUGUAAACUAGCCAUUAAUAAUGACAUUUAUAAUAUUAAAAACAUUCUUAUAAAAUACUUUAUCGUAUCACGUACAAAGAUUAAUUAUAAGGAAAAACUUAAGGUAAUUGAUUGUAAUUGUAACCAUGAUAUUAUACAAGUGUAAAAGCAUUAAUUUAUAUAUUUUUAUUGUUAUUAGAAAAAUAUUAUAAAAAUGUAAUGCAG